GACGAACGCUGGCGGCGUGCCUAACACAUGCAAGUCGAACGGGGUGAGAUCCUUCGGGGUUUCACUUAGUGGCGAACGGGUGAGUAACGCGUGAGAAACCUGCCUUUCAGUGGGGGACAACAGUUGGAAACGACUGCUAAUACCGCAUAACGUAUUUUGGGGGCAUCCCUGAAAUACCAAAGCUUUAUGUGCUGAAAGAUGGCCUCGCGUCCGAUUAGAUAGUUGGUGAGGUAACGGCCCACCAAGUCGACGAUCGGUAGCCGGACUGAGAGGUUGAACGGCCACAUUGGGACUGAGACACGGCCCAGACUCCUACGGGAGGCAGCAGUGAGGGAUAUUGGGCAAUGGGGGAAACCCUGACCCAGCAACGCCGCGUGAGGGAAGAAGGUUUUCGGAUUGUAAACCUCUGUCCUCUGUGAAGAUAAUGACGGUAGCAGAGGAGGAAGCGUCCGGCUAACUACGUG
rnacentral:rRNA from 1 species